UACACCAUUGGUCGGCCGGAUCACGUGUGUUAGGUCCAGCCACAUACUAGGUUUUAACCUGGUCUUGUUUAGUAUUAGUUUACUACUUGAAGUUCAUCAUGAAACCUUCAGUUAAAUUCCUUUAAUCAUCUGCCAUCUCUCUUUUUUGUUUUUCCCUUGAGCUGGGUCAUGACAGAGUGGGGGCUUGUCCGGGAUAAACAAAACAAGCUACAUUUUAGUGAGCUGCGUUUUCAGUCCAAACAGAAAUUCAGCUGUUGUUUUCCCUUCAUGAGAAGACAAAUCUGAAGCCUUAUUUACAAUAUUAAUGUUAACAUUUCUUGAGCUUACAGAAUUAGUUCAACUUCCCAUUUCAGACUGUGUGUGUACCUGUGUGUGUGUAGUGUGUGUGUGUGUGUUUGUCUGUGUAUCUGUGUGUGUGUCUGUGUAUUUGUGUAUCUGUGUGUCUGUUUGUGUGUGUCUGUGUAUCUGUGUGUGUGUCUGGGUAUCUGUGUGUGUGUGUGUCUGUGAUCCUGGGACUAGCAUGAUGCAAACCCGCUCACACACACACACACACACACACACACACACACACACACACACAUAUUUGCACCUUGUUGGCCAACCACAUUUUUUUAAUUCUGAGGACCUUUAUUUCUCAACACUUACGAAAAGAGGAAAGGAAAUCCUGAGAAAGACACCCCGCCAAGCCCACAGUCCUUUCAUACAACCUCACAUCAGCCAAUCCCAUCUCUGCGCUUAGAGUCCCUCAUCGGCCCAGCCAAUAAAAUCAUAGUAUUCAUGAGUGCCCCAUGAUAGAGCACCCGUCACUAGCCAGAAAGUGUUCAGCGCUUUGGAUUUCUUUCCCACAAUAGCCAUGAAGAGCAUUGCGAUUUUCACUCUUCUUCUGUCAGGUAAAGCAUGUGUAACUUUCUUAUUUCUGUUUUAGUUAUUAAUUUAUUCAUUAAUAACUGUAUUGAUAUAAUUGAUAUUAGAACCACAAAGGCUUUGUAGAGCAAACUCAGUUUUGUUAGACUGCUAUUGGUGCCCACAAGAAAAGGUGAAACUAAAUCUUUAAUGACAGAUAUUCAUUUUUAAUAUAGUAGAAGACACAUUUACUUAAUAGAUGGGUGGAUGGAUAAUAAAAUUAUACCUGAUUAUCCUGGGCAGGGUUGCUGGGAGUGCUGGAGCCUAUCCCAGCUUUCAUUGGGCGAGAGGCAGGAAUACAUCCUGAAAAGGCUGCCAAUCUAUUGCAGGGCACACACACCAUUCCAACUUUACCAGUCAUUACACAAUAACGUGUGAUGCCGUCAACGCGGCUGCUAUUUCGGUGUGUGCCCUGCGAUAGAUUGGCGGCCUGUCCAGGGUGUGUUCCUGCCUCUCGUCCCAAUGCACGCUGGGAUAGGCUCCAACACCCCCCCCUGCGACCCUGCUCAGGAUAAGCGGCGUGUGAUGGCUUCUAUGAUGUCCUCAACGCGGGUGGUAUUUCCGUGCCGAAGGAGGUGCGUGCCGUGGCGGGAGAGACGGUCACAGUGCGCUGCAGCUACCCCCGCCGUUUCUCAAACAGACCGAAGCACUGGUGCAGCGGCGGCGCGUACCAGUCCUGCAGAGUGCUUGUGAGGGCCGGCGAGCCGCCCACGGACAGGGCCUCCGCCAGCGACGACCAGAGCGCGCUCACGUUCAGCCUGACCCUCACCGCCCUCCGGCCGCAGGACGAGGGGACCUACUGGUGCGUCAUCUCCGGGAAACUCAGAUACGUCUACAAGUCGAUGUCCCUGCACGUCCUCCAGCCUACAGAGCCACCCACUACUGCCACCAAGGAGCCCCCAGAGGGAGGCGCAUCAGAUUGGUGGUCCAUCCUGCGAUGGGUCCUGUUCUUCCUGUUGCUGGCGUGUCCCCUGGGCCUGUGUUUGAGGGAGAGGGGCGUCGGGCGUGGCUGCGUUCCUCUCUGUCCCGGGACGGGCGUCCACACCCCCCCCUCACCGCUGCCCCCUUUGCCCCAAACGGGGUGACUUUCCCUCACCUGCCACCCGGCACAGAGGACCAAACCCGGACUGUUACUCGUAUUUAUUUUAGGAAGGGGCUACCUGCUGAACGUGCCCAACGGGGGGGCAACUGGCUGGAAACAUCCUGGAUUUUUGAUGAGAUCCACAAGAACUACCAACAACAUUAUCAACAAGAAAACAUACGGUGUCCUAACAUAGCAGUUUCCUAAAUGAGCCUCGGACCCAAGUGGGGGGAGGAGGGGGCACAGUGAGACAAAGGGGGAGAUGGCGGGGGGGCGUGGUGAGGUUUGGAAAAAGGCACAGUGCAUGAGGUGAGGGGGUCUUAUAAAAUGGCUUAUUACCAAAAGGUGGCAUGACCACAAAUGCUCGGGAACCUAUAAUGAUGUAACAUAUAACUGUUUAUAGGCAGAUUAUAACGUUUUUUGUACAUUUAUUUGUGUGUGUGCGUGCGUGCGUGCGUGCAUGCGUGUGUGCGCGUGUGAUUGUGUGUGUAUGUAUAUAUUUGUGGGUGUAAUUUUAACCGACAACCUUUUUUAAAUUGACCUUUUAAGUUGAAGAAUGGCAAGCUUCUGUUGAAGCCUGUGAAAUUUGAUAAUUUAGCUCAGUUUAUAGUAAAAUAAAAUGUACAGUCGUUAUGUGACACCCUGCA